GCUUGCUGGGUGGAUUAGUGGCGAACGGGUGAGUAACACGUGAGUAACCUGCCCCUGACUCUGGGAUAAGCGUUGGAAACGACGUCUAAUACUGGAUAUGACUGCCGGCCGCAUGGUCUGGUGGUGGAAAGAUUUUUUGGUUGGGGAUGGACUCGCGGCCUAUCAGCUUGUUGGUGAGGUAAUGGCUCACCAAGGCGACGACGGGUAGCCGGCCUGAGAGGGUGACCGGCCACACUGGGACUGAGACACGGCCCAGACUCCUACGGGAGGCAGCAGUGGGGAAUAUUGCACAAUGGGCGAAAGCCUGAUGCAGCAACGCCGCGUGAGGGAUGACGGCCUUCGGGUUGUAAACCUCUUUUAGUAGGGAAGAAGCGAAAGUGACGGUACCUGCAGAAAAAGCACCGGCUAACUACGUGCCAGCAGCCGCGGUAAUACGUAGGGUGCAAGCGUUGUCCGGAAUUAUUGGGCGUAAAGAGCUCGUAGGCGGUUUGUCGCGUCUGCUGUGAAAUCCCGAGGCUCAACCUCGGGCUUGCAGUGGGUACGGGCAGACUAGAGUGCGGUAGGGGAGAUUGGAAUUCCUGGUGUAGCGGUGGAAUGCGCAGAUAUCAGGAGGAACACCGAUGGCGAAGGCAGAUCUCUGGGCCGUAACUGACGCUGAGGAGCGAAAGCGUGGGGAGCGAACAGGAUUAGAUACCCUGGUAGUCCACGCCGUAAACGUUGGGCGCUAGAUGUAGGGACCUUUCCACGGUUUCUGUGUCGUAGCUAACGCAUUAAGCGCCCCGCCUGGGGAGUACGGCCGCAAGGCUAAAACUCAAAGGAAUUGACGGGGGCCCGCACAAGCGGCGGAGCAUGCGGAUUAAUUCGAUGCAACGCGAAGAACCUUACCAAGGCUUGACAUACACCGGAAACGGCCAGAGAUGGUCGCCCCCUUGUGGUCGGUGUACAGGUGGUGCAUGGUUGUCGUCAGCUCGUGUCGUGAGAUGUUGGGUUAAGUCCCGCAACGAGCGCAACCCUCGUUCUAUGUUGCCAGCGCGCUAUGGCGGGGACUCAUAGGAGACUCCCGGGGUCAACUCGGAGGAAGGUGGGGAUGACGUCAAAUCAUCAUGCCCCUUAUGUCUUGGGCUUCACGCAUGCUACAAUGGCCGGUACAAAGGGCUGCGAUACCGUAAGGUGGAGCGAAUCCCAAAAAGCCGGUCUCAGUUCGGAUUGAGGUCUGCAACUCGACCUCAUGAAGUCGGAGUCGCUAGUAAUCGCAGAUCAGCAACGCUGCGGUGAAUACGUUCCCGGGCCUUGUACACACCGCC
rnacentral:rRNA from 1 species